UGAGACAGGUUAGUUUUACCCUACUGAUGACAGGUCGUCGUGAUAGUAAUUCAACUUAGUACGAGAGGAACUGUUGAGUCAGAUAAUUGGUCUUGGCGCUUGGUUGAGAAGCUAUUGGCGCGGAGCUACCAUCUGUUGGAUUAUGGCUGAACGCCUCUAAGCCAGAAGCCCUGCUAGAAACGACGAUGAAACCUUUCUUAGUCUCGGUGUGAUAAAAAUAGAUGAAACUGCAUUGAAUUUUUUGUUGAUUUUUUAAUCAAAAUUAACAAAAAACUUGUAGUUUUUAUUUUAUAUCAAAGUAAAUAUGGAAAUAAAAUAUUGAAAAUAUAAUUGAAAGAGAAAUAAAGAUAGUGAAAUCUAACUUUUGUUAAUCCAUUUACAUUAAAGCGAGAUAGCGGACUGAGAAAGUCAGAUCACUUGUAUACGACUUGGAAUAAGGGACUGGGUAUUGUAAGGAGUAGAGUAGCCAAGUUGUUACGAUCUCUUGAGAUUUAGCCCAGGU
rnacentral:rRNA from 14 species